CCUACGGGAGGCAGCAGUGGGGAAUUUUCCGCAAUGGGCGAAAGCCUGACGGAGCAACGCCGCGUGAGGGAUGAAGGCCUCUGGGCUGUAAACCUCUUUUCUCAAGGAAGAAGAUCUGACGGUACUUGAGGAAUAAGCCACGGCUAAUUCCGUGCCAGCAGCCGCGGUAAUACGGGAGUGGCAAGCGUUAUCCGGAAUUAUUGGGCGUAAAGCGUCCGCAGGCGGCCCUUCAAGUCUGCUGUUAAAACGUGGAGCUUAACUCCAUCAUGGCAGUGGAUACUGUUGGGCUUGAGUGUGGUAGGGGCAGAGGGAAUUCCCGGUGUAGCGGUGAAAUGCGUAGAUAUCGGGAAGAACACCAGUGGCGAAGGCGCUCUGCUGGGCCAUAACUGACGCUCAUGGACGAAAGCCAGGGGAGCGAAAGGGAUUAGAUACCCCUGUAGUCCUGGCCGUAAACGAUGAACACUAGGUGUCGGGGGAAUCGACCCCCUCGGUGUCGUAGCCAACGCGUUAAGUGUUCCGCCUGGGGAGUACGCACGCAAGUGUGAAACUCAAAGGAAUUGACGG
rnacentral:rRNA from 1 species